rnacentral:rRNA from 1 species
GUACACGCUGUGACUAGCAUAUCAAUAAGCGGAGGAAAAGAAACUAACAAGGAUUCCCCUAGUAACGGCGAGUGAAGCGGGAAGAGCUCAAAUUUGAAAUCUUAAAGGGUUUCCCUUUACGAAUUGUAGUUUAAAGAAGUGUUUUCUGUUGAGGUUUUGGUAAAAGUUCUUUGGAAUAGGACAUCAUAGAGGGUGAGAAUCCCGUAUUAUGACCUUUACUUUCAACUUUGUGAUACACUUUCAAAGAGUCGGAUUGUUUGGGAAUGCAGUCCAAAAUGGGUGGUAAAUUUCAUCUAAAGCUAAAUAUUGGCGAGAGACCGAUAGCGAACAAGUACCGUGAGGGAAAGAUGAAAAGAACUUUGAAAAGAGAGUUAAACAGUACGUGAAAUUGUCAAAGGGGAAGCGUUUGACACCAGUGUUGUUUUUCUGAAAAUCAAUUAAAGAACUGUUUAUGCUAAGUUGUUUAGACUUUAUCAGCUAACUGUUUAGUUUUGAGCUUUUCUUUAAUGCACUUUUCAGUUAACAAGUCAACAUCAAUUUCUUUUGCUGUAAAAAAGCUUGAGGAAGGUGGCUUGAGAUUCGUCUUAAGUGUUUAUAGCCUCUUGCCUAUGCAGUCGGAGAGAUUGAGGUCUGCAGCGUAGAUCCUUCGGGGCUAAAUGCAUUUGUGCUAAGUUAUAGCAUUUUAUAGACAACUUGUUGACUAUGAUUUGUCUUGUAGCUUACUCGCUUAUGUUAUUUUACCUACGCUUAGGAUGUUGACGAGACUGUCGAUCUC